UAAUACAGAGGGGGCAAGCGUUGUUCGGAAUUACUGGGCGUAAAGGGCGCGUAGGCGGCCUGUUAAGUCGAACGUGAAAUCCCCGGGCUCAACCCGGGAACUGCGUCCGAUACUGGCAGGCUUGAAUUCGGGAGAGGGAUGCGGAAUUCCAGGUGUAGCGGUGAAAUGCGUAGAUAUCUGGAGGAACACCGGUGGCGAAGGCGGCAUCCUGGACCGAGAUUGACGCUGAUGCGCGAAAGCCAGGGGAGCAAACGGG
rnacentral:rRNA from 1 species